GAUGAACGCUAGCUACAGGCUUAACACAUGCAAGUCGAGGGGCAGCAUGAAAGUAGCUUGCUACUUUUGAUGGCGACCGGCGCACGGGUGCGUAACGCGUAUCCAAUCUACCCAUGGCUCAGGGAUAGCCUUUCGAAAGAAAGAUUAAUACCUGAUGGUUUCGCUUUUCCGCAUGGUUUGGCGAAUAAAGAUUUAUCGGCGAUGGAUGAGGAUGCGACUGAUUAGCUAGUUGGUGAGGUAACGGCUCACCAAGACGAUGAUGCUUAUGGGUUCUAAAAGGAAGGUCCCACACAUCGGUACUGAGACACGGACCGAACUCC
rnacentral:rRNA from 1 species